CCAGCGGGCAAUAUCGCGAACGCGAGAUCUACCGUUCCGACAUCAAAGAAAAUAUUUUGUAAUAUAGCCUACGUGUGAGGGGGUGUCGAACGCUUGGAUGUUUAAGGGACGACGGAGGUACGUUGAAAACAGGCGUUGGUACUACGAUGAUUUGAUGUUUGUUUUAGACGCUGGUUGGUUAAAAAAGAACAGUACCUGGGAAUUUAUAUUUUUCUAAAUGAAAUGGAGAUCGUACGUGUUUUCAUAUCUUUGAAUUUGCUGCGUUACUGUUCAAUUUGUACAAAUCCACACGAGAUUUAGUAUAAAGAUCACUAAUAAACGUAUGGUCAUGCUCAUUUGUCAGAGGAGAAUUAUCGAUUCGUGUCUCAGGUGUCUCCUGUAAUGGAACGAGUAUCUUCAUACUUUUGAACGAGGGUGUAUGCCAGGAGAAGGUGUGAUGAAAGGUCCUGACGCUUGACCCUUGCUGAACGUGUCGAUGAAGUAGAGGAGAUAAGCGAUGUUGGCGUUGAACAGCUUGUCCGUGUUGCGGCUGAUGAGACAGGCUGACCGAGUGGCGAUACGUGAUCUGAUGAAAAUUCGUCGGCGAGCCAGCACGCCUGGAGACGUGAAUGUUGCCAGUCCGCGUCGGCGAUGGCGUCUCGUCGCCGAGGACGUCGAUUUCAUCGUCGUCGGAGUCUACCGGCGCGUCGCUGCUCGCCCGUGAUUCUCGCCCGCCGCUCAGAGAGAAGUCCACCGGCCGUUCUGAAAACAGUUUCAUCGCAAACCAGCUGGUUACUUAUCAUUAUAGAACGAAACAUCAUGAAGGUGCUCGGUUGGAGAAAUAAGCAUGAUAAAUGGAAAGUUAACGAUUUCAACGAGUGGUUAACGUAUUGAUGGAAAACAGUGUAAACACAGUUCAGAGCGAGAGAAAUUCGACCACAGUAAGUCGGAAUAUUCACCGUGAGUUCUACGUCAAAAUUGUAGAUAUUCGUCCGGAAUUUACUAGUUCUACAAAUAGAAUCGACAACUUUAAAUUAAAUCGAAAUCGUUAAAUAUCUGCAAAGUCGUGAACAUCAAGAUGCGGUAUAGAAAUUCGACAUCGUUUCGACGAAAGGAAAAGACAUUCUUCUUUUAUCUAUUUCAAAAGUAUUCAACAGCAUUCAAUUAUUUAUU